rnacentral:lncRNA from 1 species
GGAAAUUGAAUGCUGUAGGAAUGUCCAUCACCUGGAAAAGGACGUUGAACAUCACCGGUCCUAUUUGCAGUUCAAGGUGGGUCUCCCCUAUAACCUCCUUUCUCGUACCAUCAAAAGCUCGGACGGAGGUCUUUGCAGCAUUUAUUUUUGAAGGAUCUAUUUUAAGGCGGUGAAGAGUCGCCAAUGGACAGAUAUUCAAGGCAGACCCAUUGUCAAUGAGUACUCGGGCCACAUGGGAAGCCUUACACUUGACGGAUAUAUAUAAUGCCUUAGUAUGUCCCCUCCCCUCAAGAGGGAAUUCUUCAUCGGAAAAGGCUAUUAAAUCCUUAAGAAGAAUUGACCCUACAAAUUCCUCCAACCUGU